GAUAGCUCAGCUGGUAGAGCAGAGGACU
rnacentral:tRNA from 1 species